rnacentral:misc_RNA from 1 species
UGGCUCUCGCAUCGAUGAAGAACGCAGCGAAAUGCGAUAAGUAAUGUGAAUUGCAGAAUUCAGUGAAUCAUCGAAUCUUUGAACGCACCUUGCACCCUUUGGUAUUCCGAAGGGUAUGCUCGUUUGAGUGUCAUUGUACUCUCACACUUGAAAAUUAUUUCAAGCGGUGGACUUGGACGCUGCUACUUUACUGUGGCUCGUCUUAAAUGCAGUAGUGCACCUUGUAGUGGACGUAUACGGCGUGAUAAGUAUCUUCGUCGGUUUCCUUCGGGAGCGUCGACUGUCAGGCUCUGUGCUUACAACCGCCCUCGGGCAAUCAUUUGACAACUUGACCUCAAAUCGAGUAGGACUACCCGCUGA